rnacentral:tRNA from 1 species
UAAGCUUUAAGUUAUACAAACUAGAGGCCUUCCAAGCCUUUCAAAAGAAAAUUCUUAAGCUUAA